rnacentral:rRNA from 1 species
GACGAACGCUGGCGGCGUGCUUAACACAUGCAAGUCGAACGGAAAGGCCCUGCUUUUGUGGGGUGCUCGAGUGGCGAACGGGUGAGUAACACGUGAGUAACCUGCCCUUGACUUUGGGAUAACUUCAGGAAACUGGGGCUAAUACCGGAUAGGAGCUCCUGCUGCAUGGAGGGGGUUGGAAAGUUUCGGCGGUUGGGGAUGGACUCGCGGCUUAUCAGCUUGUUGGUGGGGUAGUGGCUUACCAAGGCUUUGACGGGUAGCCGGCCUGGGAGGGUGACCGGCCACAUUGGGACUGAGAUACGGCCCAGACUCCUACGGGAGGCAGCAGUGGGGAAUAUUGCACAAUGGGCGGAAGCCUGAUGCAGCAACGCCGCGUUCGGGAUGACGGCCUUCGGGUUGUAAACCGCUUUCGCCUGUGACGAAGCGUGAGUGACGGUAAUGGGUAAAGAAGCACCGGCUAACUACGUG